rnacentral:rRNA from 1 species
UACGUAGGUGGCGAGCGUUGUCCGGAAUUAUUGGGCGUAAAGGGCGCGUAGGCGGCGCUUUAAGUCGGAUGUGAAAACCCCGGGCUCAACCUGGGACCUGCAUCCGAUACUGAAGUGCUAGAGUGCAGGAGAGGCAAGUGGAAUUCCUAGUGUAGCGGUGAAAUGCGUAGAUAUUAGGAGGAACACCAGUGGCGAAGGCGACUUGCUGGACUGUAACUGACGCUGAGGCGCGAAAGCGUGGGGAGCAAACAGG